UCCCCCUACGGGGGAGCAGCAGUGGGGAAUAUUGGACAAUGGGGGGAACCCUGAUCCAGCCAUGCCGCGUGUGUGAAGAAGGCCUUAUGGUUGUAAAGCACUUUAAGCGAGGAGGAGGCUCUUUUGGUUAAUACCCAAGAUGAGUGGACGUUACUCGCAGAAUAAGCACCGGCUAACUCUGUGCCAGCAGCCGCGGUAAUACAGAGGGUGCGAGCGUUAAUCGGAUUUACUGGGCGUAAAGCGUGCGUAGGCGGCUUUUUAAGUCGGAUGUGAAAUCCCCGAGCUUAACUUGGGAAUUGCAUUCGAUACUGGGAAGCUAGAGUAUGGGAGAGGAUGGUAGAAUUCCAGGUGUAGCGGUGAAAUGCGUAGAGAUCUGGAGGAAUACCGAUGGCGAAGGCAGCCAUCUGGCCUAAUACUGACGCUGAGGUACGAAAGCAUGGGGAGCAAACAGGAUUAGAUACCCUGGUAGUCCAUGCCGUAAACGAUGUCUACUAGCCGUUGGGGUCUUUGAGACUUUAGUGGCGCAGCUAACGCGAUAAGUAGACCGCCUGGGAAGGCUGGC
rnacentral:rRNA from 1 species